rnacentral:sRNA from 1 species
UCCACCGUCCAGACAACAACCCGCGUAUCUACGCUGGAGAACCAUAGUCGUCCACAUACUCUCUGUCCCUAAUGCAUGUGGCGACGGAUUGGCAUGUUUACGGCAACCGGAUCGGCUCCGUACACCCCUUGAUAGCCGAGCUGUUUUCCAUUUAUAUAAGCUGUGCGCUCCAACACGCAUAGCCAGGGUGGCUACCAGCUCCCAUUUCUUCAGAUAUGGCGUACGUGGUGCCUAUUCACCAUGCAAGCAGCAUCCGCCAUGCCAUAAAACUCCAGUUCUUGGAGCCAGAAAAAGACUGUUUAGUCGUUGCGAAAUCCAACCGCCUCGAAUUCUACUCCCAAACCCCCGAUGGCCUCUCUCUCGAAUACUCAAAGGCCAUAUACGGCAAAGUGACUAUGCUUGCAAAGCUCUCACGGCCUCCGCUACCUUCGAAACCACCCCCGCAACCACAGUCCCUGGAUCACCAGCUACCCCUACAACCGGCCCCCUUCCGUCCCCAAACCGAUAUCCUCUUCAUAGGCACGGACAGGGCCUCCUACUUCACCGUCUCCUGGGACCAGAAGACAAAAAAUCUCCGCACAGAACGUAAAUACGUUGACCUCGCCGACCCCUCGGCCCGCGCGUCCCAACUGGGCGACCGCUGCCUCAUCGAUCCCUCCGGCAGAUUUCUCACACUAGAGUUAUACGAAGGCAUCGUCACAGUUAUACCCAUCGGUCAGCCACUGCGAUCACGAGGGUCUGGGCGGAGGUUGGGGAAACGCGCUGCUAACGCCAGUGCAAGCGCCGCAUACGCAAAUCAGGAUGCAGCAGCAGGGGCUGCGGCGGCGGACCUAGAGCUAGGCGAGCCGUGUCAGGCGCGCGUUGAGGAAUUGUUGGUGCGGUCCUCGACGUUUUUACAUACGCAGGCUGAUACGCUACCGAGGAUGGCGCUUUUAUAUGAAGAUACGAUGGGGAAGGUGCGGUUGAAGGUUAGGG